AAGGAUCAUUGUCGAACCCUGCAACGCAGAACGACCCGUGAACAUGUAAAUCCAACCGGGUGAUGUGGAGACGGGCUUUGGUCCUUAUCCCCAUCCCCUCCCAACGUGUUUUUGUGGUGCCUCUUUUGGGGUGCCAUAGAUGCAUGUUGGACUAACAAAACCCCGGCACGGCAUGUGCCAAGGAAAACAAAAAAUGAGAAGGACACGAACCUUGUUGCCCUGUUCGCAGUGUGCAUGUGGUUCGUGGACUCUUUGUAAUUACAAACGACUCUCGGCAACGGAUAUCUCGGCUCACGCAUCGAUGAAGAACGUAGCAAAAUGCGAUACUUGGUGUGAAUUGCAGAAUCCCGUGAACCAUCGAGUUUUUGAACGCAAGUUGCGCCCGAAGCCAUUUGGUCGAGGGCACGCCUGCCUGGGCGUCACGCAUACGCGUCGCCCCCAUCAUACAUACCCAACCGGUAGUCAUGGUGAUGGGGCGGAGAUUGGUCUCCCGUAAUUUCGGUUGGCCUAAAAAUGAGUCCCCUUCAGUGGACACACGACUAGUGGUGGUUUAACAGACCCUCGUUUUUCUCGUGUGUUGUGAGCUGCUAGGGAAGCCCUCAUCAAGACCCCAAUGUAUCGUUUUCGGAC
rnacentral:rRNA from 1 species